UUCCGGUUGAUCCUGCCGGACCCUACUGCUAUCGGGACAGGACUAAGUCAUGCAAGUUGAGCGUCUCUAAGCUAUGGUUGAGACGCAGCAUACGGCUCAGUAACACGUGGCUAACCUACCCUCAGGACGGAGAUAAUCCCGGGAAACUGGGGCUAAUAUCCGAUAGGUGAGGAUACCUGGAAUGAUAUCUCGCCUAAAAGAUUUUGGAACCAUGCUUUUCAAAGUCGCCUAAGGAUGGGGCCGCGACCGAUCAGGUUGUUGGUGAGGUAAUGGCUCACCAAGCCUAUUACCGGUACGGGCCGUGAGAGCGGGAGCCCGGAGAUGGGCACUGAGACAAGGGCCCAGGUCCUACGGGACGCAGCAGUCGCGAAAACUCCGCAAUGCGCGAAAGCGUGACGGGGCUAUCCCGAGUGUCGUCCGCUGAGGAUGACUUUUACUUGGUGUAAUAAGCCGGGUGUAAUAAGGAGAGGGCAAGACCGGUGUCAGCCGCCGCGGUAAUACCAGCUCCCUGAGUGGUAGGGACGAUUAUUUGGCCUAAAGCGUUCGUAGCCGGCUUAUCAAGUCUUUUGUUAAAUCCAACGAUUCAAUCGUUGGGCCGCAAAAGAUACUGUUAUGCUAGAGGACGGGAGAGGUCGACGGUAUUCCAGGGGUAGGGGUGAAAUCCUAUAAUCCUUGGAGGACCACCAGUGGCGAAGGCGGUCGACUAGAACGUGCCUGACGGUGAGGGACGAAAGCUGGGGGAGCGAACCGGAUUAGAUACCCGGGUAGUCCCAGCCGUAAACGAUGCGGGCUAGGUGUUGGGGCAGCCACGAGCUGCUCCAGUGCCGCAGAGAAGUUAUUAAGCCCGCCGCCUGGGGAGUACGGCCGCAAGGCUGAAACUUAAAGGAAUUGGCGGGGGAGCACCACAAGGGUGAAGGCUGCGGUUUAAUUGAAUCAACGCCGGUAAUC
rnacentral:rRNA from 1 species